GAGCAAUGAUGAAAAGGUUUCACUACAUAUCUUUAUAACCAUAAAGAUUUCUACACUUGAUCUGAGCUCU
rnacentral:snoRNA from 1 species